rnacentral:tRNA from 1 species
CGGGCUGUGGCUCAGCUUGGUAGAGCGCGCCGUUCGGGUCGGCGAGGUCCAGGGUUCAAAUCCCUGCAGCCCGA